rnacentral:rRNA from 1 species
GACGAACGCUGGCGGCGUGCCUAAUACAUGCAAGUCGAACGCUUCUUUCCUCCUUAGUGCUUGCAGUCAAUUGGAAGGAGGAGAAGCGGACGUUUGAGUAACACGUGGCUAACCUACCCAUCAGUGAUGGAUAACACGUGCAUACAGGUGCUAAUACCGCAUCACAGUUUAUGCCGCAUGUCAUAAGAGUGAAAGGCGCUGUCGUGGGUCGCUGAUGGAUGGACCCGCGGUGCAUUGGCUAGGUGGUGCGGUAACGGCGCACCAAGGCCACGAUGCAUAGCGGAUAUGAGAGGGUGAUUGGAUACACGGGGAGUGAGACAGGGCAGAGACUCCUACGGGAGGAAGCAGCAGGGAAUCUUCCGCAAUGGACGAGAGGGUGAUCGAAGAACGCCGCGUAAGUGAAGAAGGAUUUCGGAUCGGAAAACGCUGUUGGUAGUGAAGAAGAAGAGCGUUAGUAACUGAGCGGCUAAUGACGGUACCUGGACAAGAAGCCACGGCUAACUACGUG